rnacentral:lncRNA from 1 species
UUAAAAUAAAAAAGUAAACUUUAACUCUCCCGCUUUUGAACUCUCCUCCUUCCACACUUUGACUUCAACUUCGGUGCCUCUGGUGAACGUCUCUUCCAUCCAUUUCUUCUCCACGGCUCUGUGUUUUUAGUUUCGACUUCAACUUUGGUGAACUCUUCUCCACUCCUUUCUGAUUUCAACUUCGUUUUCACCGGACCUCUCAAUUUCUUCUUCACGGAUCUUUGUUUUAUUUUCGAAUUGAUCAACUCUGGUGAACGCUUCUCCACUCCUUUCCGAUUUUAGCUUUGUUUUCACCAGACCUCUCUAUUUCUUCUCCACUCCUCUCCGUUGGCAGUAUCGUAUCCAUCCUCUUUGAAGUCAAGUGAGUAAUAAAAUCUAAGUUUUUUUUUUUAAUAUAUAAAUCAUUAUUGUUUCAGUUGUCUAUUGAGAUAUAUGAGAUUUUUGUUGGACACAUUUUAGAUAUACCAUUAAAUUUGUAGAGAAGAAAUGCAUAUGUUCUACAGGCACACACACAUAGAGAGCCGUGGGAACAUGAAUUCUGUUUUUAGGCAGAAGAACCAUAUUGGACGAAGAACCAUUUCCACUCACCACAAACUGUAAUAAUAGAUAAUUGGGUUAAUAAUCCAUUAUAUUUGUGCAUGCUACAAAUAUAUAUAUAUAUAUAUAUAUAUACAUACCUUGGAGUUUAGAACAUGAAUUCUAGCAUAUUUGGUAUCCCAUCUAAACUCAACAAAGCUACCAGUAGAAUAAUGUUGAAAGACAUUAUCAUUUUUAGAGUUAAUCACAUUAUUAUAAUCAAAAGUUGCAUUGUUGUUCUCUACUUUGUUGAUGUUUUUAGUGAUGUAGUUCCAAUAAACUACAAUCUUUGUUGCCUUGUAUAACCAAACAGCUUCCCAUAUUAAUUCGUCCUAUGUCGAACCAGUAUUUAGGAUUCGUUUGUUAGAGAGAAUUUGAAAACAAAUGAUUCAAUGGGUUUUGUUCCUAAACAUAAGAAUUGUAGGCUUUCCUCCCACUAUUAAUCAUUUUAGUAAAGGUGUUACAAUAUAUGUUUAGGAGUGCAAGCAAUUUGAUUUAGUAAGCCUCCUAUGAACUUGUCAACCCCCUAUCACAUGUUUAUUUAGCAUGCCCUUACACAGGUUUAUUGCUAUGGUAAGCCUCUUAUGAACUUGUCAACCCCUCACUAGCAAUCUCAUUUUAGUAAAGGUGUUACAAUAUAUGUUUAUUGGGCUUUAAUGUUUUAUCUCACACCUAUCUCACACAUAUCAAAAUUUCAAUAGGAGUUUCAAAAGGAGAUUGCUAUCCUUCCUAAACCGUUUAGAAUGGUCCUAUACAUGUUUAGCAAGUUUAUUAGGCUUAGCAAGUUUAUUAGAAUGUUUUAAUAUUUUAUCUCGCACAUAUCAAAAUGAGAUUGCUACCCUUCCUAAACCGUUUAGAAUGAUCCUAUGUAUGUUUAGCAAGUUUAUUGAGUCAUAAUGUUUUAACUCGCACCUAUCUUCCACCACAUAUAUUUAAGCUUAAUUUGGAUGUUUGUUUGAUAAUUAAUUUAGCUUUUGAUAUUGCAUAUGUAGGAGAUUGAAGUUAAUUUAGGUGAGUUUUGGUUGAAUUUGAACUGAGUUGGAAUGUGAAAAAGAUUUCCAAGCAAUGGAUGUUGGAAUUGUCUUUCAAACGAAUUCUCGUGUGGAUGUCAAUGGGAGUAUUGGUUUUGUUAGUUGAACAUCUUGCUUUACGUUUGGAUAUUAGAUGUUUAAUAUUGUUAUGCAACAAUUUGUAUCUCUCCAACUUCAGGCUAAAUAGAUAACAUAACAUUUAAUUAUAUGAAAAUUUGAAUUCCAUCCAUUUGAUAUGAAUGAUUCUUUGACAAGCUAGGUUAUUACUAGUUAGCUUUCUUUUGUCCUCUGAUGAUAUUUGGAGUGAUGAAGCAUAAUUAUUAAGGUUCAUUUUGUAGCUGCCUGAAUUCUUUUGUUUUUGCUGUGUUGUUAGACUUCCCUGUGAUCAAGGACGUAGUUGAGGCUGCUGAUUUAUUGAGCAACAAAUGUCAUCAUAUUGUUUUGGUUGAAUCAAUAUGUAAAUGACCAAUUAUUAUUAUGUAUUUUCUAAUGUUACAAGAGUGAUUGUCAUUUUCACUUUUGUCUACAUAUCUCAUAGUUGAUGAAAAUUAUCUUCAUUCUUUUAAAGAUAAAGUAAGUAUUAAAUGUAGAAUAAUCAAUAUCAAAAAAGAUGAAAAGGACAUCAUAUCUUUUAAUGGAGCAAGUAUAUCAAUUUUGUUAUUACACGAGCUAAUUUUUGUGGAUUGGAUGGUUACAACUUACAAAAUUAAGAUUCAAAUGUUAACAUCAUCUCCUAAAAUAAACAACCCACGUCAAUUAAAGUUCGACCCAAACAAAAGAAAUUGGAAUAAAAAAAUUCCAUAAAACCUAUAGAUAACAUGGCCUUACAAGGAAAUAAAAAUAUGUAAGAACCUCCAACCAAAUAGUAAUCUCUUAUUCCAGACUAAGGAAAACCUCCCUGCUUAUUCCAGACCCAAGAGGCGCAUGAUUGAAUGCCUAAUUAGGUAAGAAUCACAAAAAACUGUAGAACA